UACGAGGGGAGCAAGCGUUGUUCGGAAUUACUGGGCGUAAAGGGCUCGUAGGCGGCCAACUAAGUCAGACGUGAAAUCCCUCAGCUUAACUGGGGAACUGCGUCUGAUACUGGAUGGCUUGGAUUCGGGAGAGGAAUGCGGAAUUCCAGGUGUAGCGGUGAAAUGCGUAGAUAUCUGGAGGAACACCGGUGGCGAAGGCGGCGUCCUGGACCAACACUGACACUGAGGAGCGAAAGCCAGGGGAGCAAACGGG
rnacentral:rRNA from 1 species